UACAGAGGUCUCAAGCGUUAAUCGGAAUUACUGGGCUUAAAGGGUCCGCAGGCGGACCAGCAAGUACCUUGUGAAAUCUCAGGUCUCAACCCUGAGUCUGCUAGGUAGACUGCUGGUCGUUGAGUGCAAAAGGGGGUCGCUGGAACUCUAGGUGGAGCGGUGAAAUGCGUAGAUAUCUAGAGGAACGCCAAAGGUGAAGACAGGCGACUGGUUUGCAACUGACGCUCAUGGACGAAAGCGUGGGGAUCAAACGGG
rnacentral:rRNA from 1 species